rnacentral:rRNA from 1 species
CAUGAACUUAGCUUGCUAAGUUUGAUGGCGACCGGCGCACGGGUGAGUAACACGUAUCCAACCUUCCGUUUACUCAGGGAUAGCCCUUCGAAAGAAAGAUUAAUACCUGAUAGUAUGGUGAGAUUGCAUGAUAGCACCAUUAAAGAUUUAUUGGUAAACGAUGGGGAUGCGUUCCAUUAGGUAGUAGGCGGGGUAACGGCCCACCUAGCCGACGAUGGAUAGGGGUUCUGAGAGGAAGGUCCCCCACAUUGGAACUGAGACACGGUCCAAACUCCUACGGGAGGCAGCAGUGAGGAAUAUUGGUCAAUGGGCGAGAGCCUGAACCAGCCAAGUAGCGUGAAGGAUGAAGGUCCUACGGAUUGUAAACUUCUUUUAUACGGGAAUAAAGUUUCCUACGUGUAGGAUUUUGUAUGUACCGUAUGAAUAAGCAUCGGCUAACUCCGUGCCAGCAGCCGCGGUAAUACGGAGGAUGCGAGCGUUAUCCGGAUUUAUUGGGUUUAAAGGGAGCGCAGACGGGAGAUUAAGUCAGUUGUGAAAGUUUGCGGCUCAACCGUAAAAUUGCAGUUGAUACUGGUUUCCUUGAGUGCAGUUGAGGCAGGCGGAAUUCGUGGUGUAGCGGUGAAAUGCUUAGAUAUCACGAAGA